UAUAUCACCUUAUGUAAGGUCAGAUCCGUAACUUCGGGGUAAGGAUUGGCUCUAAGGGCUGGGUCGGUCGGGCUGAGGUCCGAAGCUGGGCUGGGCUUGAGCCGCGGCUGGGGAAGCAGUCGCUCCGUUGCCCUCCUCUCACCACCAUUGGAAGUUCAUUGUGCGGACCAUCUUGUGGUCUCUCGUGCGUGAUCCCGCAAGGGGCUGUGUGCAGGGGUUCGUUGGGGUGGUGUCCUUCUUGCGGGGGUUCGCCGGGCCCUUCUCACGGAUCUCCCCAGCUACGGCACUCGCCGGACCCGUUUGCGUGGGGUCUCCGGCGGGUCGCCUCGGCCGGUGCGUAGCAGCUGACUUAGAACUGGUGCGGACCAGGGGAAUCCGAUUGUUGACGCGAUGUUAUUUCUGCGUAGUGCUCUGAAUGUCAAAGUGAAGAAAUUCAAUGAAGCGCGGCUAAACGGCGGGAGUAACUAUGACUCUCUUAAGGAGUCCUUAACCCAGGACAUUAGGGGUCCAUGCUUCCCAAAAUAAUGGGAAGUCGUAUACGGCAACCCCAAACCCUACAUUGUGUCACCAGGUGGCGCUAACAUAGCAAAAAACUGGAGCAAAACGUGCCUUCAGGUCGAACGAAACCCUGGUCCAGCUGAGAGUGACUGCCUCGGAUAGGUUAGACAUCUUCAGGAUAGGUGUCCCCCCUGAGGGGCGGUUGAGCUAACGUAGGCUAAUGUGAUUAGCAUGAGGUUGUAAGAAAAAAAAAAUCCCAGGACAUAGACUUGUCUUUUAUGGGCAGAAAGCUUAAAUUCUUGUUAAUCUGAUUGCACUGUCCAAUUUACAGUAGCUAUUACAGUGAAAGAAUACCAUGCUAUUGUUUGAGGACAAUUGUGAACUUGAAAAUGUAUGAAUAAACCAAUUAGGCACAUUUGGGCAGUCUUGAUACAACAUUUUGAAUAGAAGUGCAAUAGUUCAUUGGCUCACUCUAAAACUUUGCACAGACAGUGCUGUCAUCUAGUGGCCAAAGUCUAAAUUGCGCCUGGGCUAGAAUAAUUCAUUAUGGUUUUUCUCUUGCAUUUCAAAGAUCAUGGUACAAAAAAAGGUUGGAUUUUUCUUUUGUAUUAUCUUUUAUCAGAUCUAAUGUGUGAUAUUGUCCUACAUUCCUUUCACAUUUCCACAAACUUCAAAGUGUUUCCUUUCAAAUGGUAUCAAAAAUAUGCAUAUCCUUACUUCAGGUCCUGAGCUACAUGCAGAUCCUUAAGAGGUUUUAAGACAGGGGAGUUAAGGGAAGACUGCAAAGUCAGAUGCAUAACUUCGGGAUAAAUAGUACCAUAGCUCUUCCAACCCCUACUCUGUGUGUCACCUGUUUGAGGGAGUCUCUCCAAUGGCUAGGAGACAAACUGUCUCUAGCAUGUGCAACAUGUGCAACAUGCUAGAGACAGUUUGUCUCCUAGCCAUUGGAGAGAUAACGAGGGAGAUAACGAGGUAGCCCUCUAGCAGGGCUCUUCCAAUCCCUCCCUGUAUGUCACCUGUUUUCAGGUGUUGCUAACGAUGCAAACCAAACGGGAAUUACCUCGGAACUAGUCCGUACGCAAAGAGAAUCCUGCAGAUGGUGACGGCUGUUGAUCGUUUACGGAAGGUGGAAGUCGGUGCUGGAAUAUGGGGCUUUCGGGCAAGCAUGAAAAUGUGUGGGCGGUUCCACCAGGCUCAAUGUUUUGCUGCGGGGCUCUUGUAAACUAAUCCUGACCUUGACAGGAAGCCAAUCAGAGAAUGAUGGAGAGUGAAAGCGGGCCUCUGACUUUUUGGGUUUUAAGCAGGAGGUGUCAGAAAAGUUACCAUAGGGAUAACUGGCUUGUGGCGGUCAUAGCGACGUCACUUUUUGAUCCUUCGAUGUCGGCUCUUUCUAUCAUUCACCAAGCGUUGGAUUGUUCACCCACUAAUAGGGAACGUGAAUUGGGUUUAGACCGUCGUGAGACAUGUUAGUUUUACCCUACUGAUUAUGUGUUGUUGCGAUAGUAAUCUUGCUCAGUACGAGAGGAACGGCAGUUUCAGACAUUUGGUGUAUGUGCUUGGCUGAGGAGCCAUUGGUGCGAAGCUACCGUCUGUGGGAUUAUGACAGAACGCCUCUAAAUCAGAAUCCCCCCUAAACGUAACGAUACCAUAGCGCCGCGGAUCUCCGGUUGGCCCGGGAUAGCGUGCCUCUUUUGGCAGGUGAGUAGAGCUGUUCGUGACGGGGUUGGGGUGUUGCCAGAUGAGUUGCCGCCCCUCUACUGAUGCGCACCGCAUGUUUGUGGGGAACCUAGUGUAAAAUAACUCGUAGACGACCUGAUUAUAGGUCAAGGUUUCGUACGUAGCAGAGCAGCUCACUCGCUGCGAUCUAUUGAAAGUCAGCCCUAGAUCCAAGAUUU
rnacentral:ncRNA from 1 species